AUAAAGGGGAUUUUUCUAAUUGGAACAAUGUAUACUCAGCACCUGUGUGGGGAGAAAAACGGAUUUUCAUUCUGUCUUCUUGUUUUCUUUGGUCCUAACAUCAGACAAAUAUUUGGCUGGUUGAGGAUCUUUAACAUGUCAUGAUAUCUUUUCUUUGCAUUUUUCUUUUCUCUCUCUCUCUUUUUUUUAAAUAUUAGACACCAGGAAGCCUUGUCACCUACCACUCAGCUAAGCAGGCCCAUUUGCCUAUUGUUUGGAGAUCAAGGACAGGCCUUUGCCCAGGAAAGAAUGGAACAGAGCAAUACAUAUGAUAAGGGCUCCUCUGUCAUCAGUCAGCCCAGAAAUUCCUUUAUUGGUGGCAUAUCAGCUACAGGAUGGAAGACAGUCUAUGAGCUCACCCACACUGGUGAACAAAACAAUACACUUUCUUUCUCUCAAGGUGAUUUUCAAUUUGUUCUGCUCUGUGGCAUCUGUUUCACUUUCAAAAAAGCCACUGGGAAAGCAAGGGAAAAGAGAGCAAGAAACCCAUGGAAAGGUCGUGAAUUAUUCUUUCUAAAUCCUAAUUUCAGAUACAUGGCGUUCCAUAGGUCUGGGAAAAGCGGCACUAUAGGAAGCAUGGAUAAUAACAUCUUUCAGAGGGUGGAAGAAAAUCCAUGUGGCAGUCCAAGAUGGAGUCAGUGUUCAUGAGAUAGAAUCUAAUUGGUUCUCUUGAUUUCUACACCAAAACAACUUCAUUUUGUAACUGGCCUUCACUCUGUCUCAUCACAGAGGAGGAAACUGAGGUCUAGAAACAUUAAAUGAUAUGUAGAAGCUGAAACAAGCAUAAUAGUAAGUAACAGAGCCAAGAUGCCAGCCCAGAUGUUCUGGUUGAAGAUCCCACGUGCUUUCCAUUGUAAUAUGCGGUUUUCUCCUUCCAUCUUAAAGAACUAAGUCAAAACACCAUUCAAGAAAUCUUCCCUAAUUAAUUCAACCCCCAUUUGACCAAGCCCUUUAUUCAUCAUCUCCUUAAGACUCACAUAAUAAGGCAGAGAUGGUAGAGUAGCAGGAAGCAAUGUACCGAGAAUCUCUUCCCUCCAUUCUCAACUCCUCUAAAUAGAUCUAGAAAAUGCAUCAGAACCAAUCCUGAUGGGGAAAUCCAAGAAACUGUCACAGUAUGUCUUUAUACAGCCCAGCUAUGCAUAGGAAUGUAGACAGAGAGGUCUACUGGGGACUAACCCUGGUACAGAGCACUCACCACAUGGACAUGGAGUACACAGUGAGCAGAGUAUACUAGUACUUAUGGAGAGGCUGUAACUAGGCAAGGAAGGGCCCAGACCCAUAUGUGGACACUACAACAAGGACAGACUCUAAUUGGCAUCUUUGUUGCCCACUGCCCAGUUCUGAGUCACGGAUCCAUGGAGGACAGAGAUACGCAGCAAGGUUCUCCCCCCAUCCCUAUCCCUAGCAAUCUUGGACUAUAGGCAGUAAUCAAAGAGAAGAUCAAGUUCAGAAGUAAAGCAGCAGUGCUAUGGCUCAGACUCCAGAAGAAGACGGUAGGGUCGGGGUAUCAGCUCCAGCCUCCAAAUCAUUCUGAACUUACAGAGGAGCAAUCAGGGCUGCAUUCCCAGAUCAAAUGGGAAUCUAUAAUUCUGUCAUUCUCAACUAGCAGAGUUUUCCAGCUAAUUGAUAGCAUAUGAGUCCAGUAGUAGUCUACCAUUGCUCAGUACAAACCCAAGUCAGGAAUUUAGAGAGCUCAGAUCAGGGGGAAAAGUAAUCAGACUUUGCUCUAGAUCAGAUCACUUUAAGAGCACUAAAAGCUUGAAGGUCCUGAACUUGAGCUAUCUUUGAAAUUAUGGAAUAACCUAACACUCAGGACCCUCAAGAAAGCAGCAAUAGCAUCAGCCUGGAUCUUCCCUGCAGAAGUGUACAGAGCCUAGCCCCAAAAUAAAGUCCAAAGUCAGGAAGUAAACUAGAAGACU
rnacentral:lncRNA from 1 species